GGCUGUUUUGUAGGAGUGGUUUAGCUACAAAGUAACAUUUUACCUUAUUCAAUGAGGAUGACAGAAACCCUAAAUUACCACUAUCUGCUUUUUCUCCAUUUCAAAAUUCAAUCAUUUCAGUGACAUAUGCAGAAAUCCAGGCUUAUUGGGAAUGGAGUCGUUGCAAUUAUUUGAUGACCUGACUGAGGAGCAUUCACAGAAUACAAUUAGAAGAAGGAAUCGAUUUUCACAGACAGAGACAGACUGAGGAGUGACUAAGAGGCUUGUCUACAGUAUGACCACUAAGCCAGGCUCACAGAAGAAAAACCCUCCCUUUCCAGAAACAGACAUAAAUAGACUUCUCAGCAGACAUGGAUGCAGUUCAGAUUAGCAGAUUUCUAAACACACAAGAUAAGGACUGGAAUCACAGUGAACUUCCCCAGUUUAAAGUAUUUCCUUAGUCAGAAAGUAUCUGUACUAUAAAAGUCUAAAGAAUCUGUACUAAAAAAAUUAGAUGCACUAGAAACACAUUUUUGGUUAAAGUUCUCAUUAAGGCUCCUUCCUUGUUUUCCCUUGCUAACAGCCAAGAGAAGUCCUGCAGAUAAAGCCCUAUACACUGUCAGCAAAGGGUGCAAACCCAGAAUAUUUUUAGCUUUUCUUGGUAACAAACAUCUCUGAAUACAGUAACUCUGCUCCUCUUACAUCCAGAUUUCAACAGUAGUAGUAGAUUUACCGCUUCUUUUCUGGAAGAGCUGUGAUAUUUUUACUGUAAAGCAGACAAUGCUCAGCAUCACAUUUCAAACAAGUUCUCUUGCCCAAAUGCUCUGAGCUGUGAGGCAAAGCAACCUGCUUGUUUCCUGAAGCUAAAACCUGGAAAGAUGCAUUUGUUCCCAGACAGUGCAGCUUUCUUCCUUUGAUUAGCACAUAGAGCCUAGAGACUCUACCCAUAACUUACAUGGUUCCUUUUUGUAUCAGUACAAGUUUGUAUGCAUCCAGUUGUGGUUUUAACUGAAACAUACCUUCUGAACUGUAAACAAAUUAUCUUCUGUUUGUUCCCUUUCCCUGACUUUUUCUGGACACCUGUUGAUUUGAAACUGAGUUUUGAGUUAAAUAUAAUGAGAACAACCCAAAACCUAUUAUAGAAUUAAGGUUUAAAAUCAUUUGUACAUUAGGUUACAGGCACUAUUCGUACAUCUUAUUACUUUGCCAUUGCCAAUACCUUGUAAAAGAUAAGAUUAUCUCAUUAAUCCUGUUGUGCUCCCUCUAAGAAGCUGAAACACUCCAUAAAAGAACACAGAAAUAAAGCAGUUGGUAAAUGGUGUCUGAUAUUAAGAGUAUUGGAGCAAAGCUGUGCUUACUGCCAAAGCAUCUGUAAAGUACAAAUUAAAACCAGGGAUCUUCACAUUCUGUGUGUUCCAGCUGGACACAAACAUAAGAACAGUUCUUUUUGGUCAGUCUAAAGUGUGGUAGAAAACAGUCUUGUUCUACUCACUGCUCCCGUUACCCUCUAACUUUUUCAGUAAACAUUUCAGAGUCCUCAGAGAAAACAAUGCCUCAAUUCAAAGACAAACAUUAAAAGAUAGCCUAAAAUACAUAUAUAUAUAUAUUUAUAAAUAGAGAUGAGCCUGUUUUCUUUCCUACCCUCCUAACACUUUCAUCUUGACAGCAAUUACUGUUUCAGAAGACAAUAAUGAAAGGUGAAAUAUCUCAUAUCAAUUAGCUGUAUUUACAUAAAAUAAAAAGAAAUGCAGAAAGGAUUGUAA